rfam:Schistosoma mansoni strain Puerto Rico chromosome 6, complete genome
GCUGAGGAGUCCCACCAUAGGACGAAACGGCCGUCC